GUGUUUGAAAAAAGCAGUACUACUCGUCCUCCAGUAACUCCCAGCACAUCUGAUGAUGAUGACGCUGCGGAAGCAGGUCCAUCAAAAGAAGUCUGCAGCAGCAGAAGUGGGACUUCUGUAAGACAUCACCACAAAAAACCUGUGGCAGCAAAGAAAGCAAGGUCUGAUGUCCAGGGCCAACCACAGCAGGCUACACCGCCACGAAGAUUAUCGACAGUAUGUUCGGUCCCCCCACUCCAAAUUUUGGACACACCUCCAAGACGUCAUCCACACUCCCCUCAUCUUGAUUCUUCUAGUCCUGGUAACAGCAUCCCUCCGCAACAACAGCAACACAGUGACAUGGAGGAGACAAUCAUUUUAGAAAUGCAGCCAUUAAGCCAAGGAAUCAGCUCCCCAGCACCUGUGAAUACACCACCACAGCAAAGCACACCACCACAACACAGCCCAACAACACCAGUAACACAAGGCCCUGAUCAGGUGUUUUGGACCAUUUGGGCUAGACAGCAGGCCACUAAUGAAGAUUGCCUGCGUAGGCAGACACAAAUGUUUGCAAGCCUACCAUGUCACCUCAGAAGAAUAACCAGAAAUAUGAGUAGACAAAAUAAACAAACAACCAAAAUUGGCAAUACCAUCGAACUCAUGCGUACAGACAUUACACAGGUCAUGGGCAACUUACAGCGCAUAAUGGAAGAACAGCACAGACUACAGCAAAGUUAUAUGAACAUUUUUCAAAACAAAAGAUUCAUGAAAGUUUAUUCAAUUGUAGACAAUCAAAAUGCUGCUACACGUGAACUCAAUGCCACCCUCACUAACCUGAAUGAAACACUCAGAUCCAUGCACCAACAGCAAACAAGCAGCAGUUCUGGUACGACUACUCCAAAUAUCACGCCAGUCUCAUCACCACGAAGACGCUCCACCAGUGCACGACAACAUGACAGUGCCAAAGGCAAAGGGCAGGACAAGCAGGCACCCAAAAAAAAUUAACACAAAACAAACAAAUUUUACAUUUCUGAGAAGUAAUUCAAAAUAGUAAGCGUAUGUUUGGCAAAAUAUAUAUAACACUUAGCUCCUUGACAAUUUAUACAACAUCAUUAAUUAUAAGUGGUACAAACAACAGCAUAAAAUUUGUACGCACAUUUAUUCUUUACCAUCUUUGUUUUCUUUUGGAGGAGGGAAAUGUUGUUGGAGCUGCACAUACAUGUUAGCAGGAAGUAACCAGACCACUUGAUUUUUUUUCUAAUCAUUACUAUUUCUAGAUUCCAAUCAUUCUCCUAUCCUGCACACACAAUCAUUGCCAGGCAGCCACAUACAUGUUAGUAGGAAGUAACCAGACCACUUGAUUUUUUUCCAAUCAUUACUCUAUCUAGAUUCCAAUCUCCUAUCCUGCAGCCAAUCCACAUUACAAUGUGAUUGCUAACUAUUUUACCUUUCUUCUCUAUACAACAUUACAAG